ACAAUGAUUUAAAUAUUAAUUAACUAUAAGAAUUGCAAAAAUUAUAAAAUAGAGUGAAGAGAGUAUGUGAACAAUAUUACAUAUAACGUCAACAUCAUCCUUAAAAUACAUAUGAUUAAUAAUACAACUACUAAACCAUGAAAACUAUGUAUCAUAACCAAGAGAGUAUCAUAUAAUUGUGGGAAAAACAGAGGUUGCAUAAUAUUGUGACAGGUUUGAUAUAUACAAGCAAUUCAUCUUGAAUACCUCUCAUCCAUUUUUAUAUGUUCGUAAGGAUCAGGGAUUUGUGGAAGAAAACUAAUAAAUUGCCACUAAAAAUAUAAGCACGAGGUUCUGCAAUCCGAAGACGACAAUCCUGCAGAAAAAGGUCAGUGCAGACAAAGAGAAGCAGCAGAACAUCUAGCAUCAAAUUAUGUGAAGGCUUGCAUCUUUUUUUUUUCUCGGAUUAAUAUACUCAUCUCUUCCGUCUCAUUCUUUCCAUUCUCCCCUCUUUUCUUUUCUAUCCAAUCUUUCAUGUGGAAAAAAAAAUCCGCGACGCUCUUUAGAUAUUUCUUUUUUUGUAUACAUUGAUACCCAUCUUUUGCUAUUGCCAAAGCUCUCGUUUGUCAAGAUCCUCUGCUUGAAUUCUUUUACAAUUUCAUUUUUUCUGUCAUCGAUUGAAUCUUUUUGUUUCUCUUUUGCUUUAUUACGGGUUUUCAGCUUUCUUUGCAUAUCUCGUGGUUUUCUUCCCCCUUCCUUCAUUCCAAUUUUAGCCUUUCUUCUUGUUGAAUCUUGUUACAAGGAAUGCUUUUUUCUUGCUUUGCGUAUCUUGGUUUCUCGAUGUAUUUUUCUUUAGACUUUCUGGUUCCUUUGUCUUUUGUCUUCAUCUUUUUCUUUUUCUUUCGCUCUUGCUUCUACUAAAGGUUUCAGUUUUCUUGAUGCCCCAUUUUGUUUUGCGGUGCUAUUUAGACAAACGGCUUUUUUUGUUUCUUGAUAUAUCUAUCAAGUGGUACGCUAUUUCAUCUUCUAUACUGUUCAUUAGCUUCUUUUGCAUAGUUUGUUUUUUGUAAAAUCUUGAUGCUUGUUGCAUUACAAUCAUGGUCUACUGUACCGAUCAGUAUGGGUCAGUAUGAGUCGAUACGGGCCGGUACAGACCGGUACCGGACAGAAUCGGUACGGUACAGCUACAUUUUUCGGUUCCAACCAUUCGCGACCGGUAUCAGCCUGUACCGACCCGUACCGAACUGGUAUCGACGUACCAACCGGCCCGUACCGGUUCCAAUUUUUUUUGGCUUUUGGCCCGAACCAGCCAAACUGGUACAGUAUCGCUACCGACACCCACCAAUACGUCGGUACGGUCAGUACGACGGACCUUGAUUUAUGAUGUUCUUUGGCUAACCAGGUUCAUAUUUUUCCGAUUUUGGGCUUUUUUUCUAUAUUCUUGAUAUUUGUCCUCCCAGGGUGCGCGUUUUUUCUUUACUGUUAUAUUUCACCUUUUGUCAUGCUUUUUUUCCCCUUCUUGAUUCCUAUUUUCUAUCACAAGAUUCUUUUGGUAAACUCUAUUACCAUUUUCCGUAUACAUUGAUACCCAUUUUUUGUUAUUGCCAAAGCUCUCGUUUCUCAAGAUCCUCAAAUUGAAUUCUUUUACAAUUUCAUUUUUUGUCAUGCUUUUUUUCCCCUUCUUGAUUCCUAUUUUCUAUCACAGGAUUCUUUUGCUAAACUCUAUUACCAUUUUCCGUAUACAUUGAUACCCAUUUUUUGUUAUUGCUAAAGCUCCCGUUUCUCAAGAUCCUCUAUUUGAAUUCUUUUACAAUUUCAUUUUUUCUGUUGUUAAUUGAAUCUUUUUGUUUCUCUUUUGCUUUAUUACCGGUUUUCAGCUUUCUCUUUUAAUCUUACCUCUCGUGUUGAUGGUGUUUUUUCUUUGCAUAUCUCGUGGAUUUUCUUCCCUCUUCCUUCAUUCCAAUUUUGGCCUUUUUUUCUGUUGGAUCUUGUUACGAGGAAAGAGCUUUGCGUAUCUUGGUUUCUCAAUGUAUUUUUCUCUAUCUUUCCAGCUCCUUUGUCUUUUGUCUUCAUUUUUUCUUUUUCUUUCGCUCUUGCUUAUGCUAAAGGUUUCAUUUGUCUUGAUGCCCCAUUUUGUUCUAUGGUGCUAUUUAGACAAAUUGCUUUUUUUUGUUUCUUGAUAUAUCUAUCAAGUGGUAUGCUGUUUUAUCGUCUAUAUUGUUCAUUGGCUUUUCUUUAUAGUUUGUUUUGGUGAAAUCUCCAUGCAUGUUGCAUUACAAUGUUCAUAUUUUUCCGAUUUGGGGCCUGGCCUUUUCUAUAUUCUUGAUAUUUGUCCUUUCGGGGUGCUCAUUUUUUCUUUACUGCAAAUAUUUCAUCUUUUGUCGUGCUUUUUUUUCCUUCUUGCUUCCUAUUUUCUAUCAUGGGAUUCUUUUGCUAAACUCUAUUACCAUUUCUCGUAUCUGGUCUUUUUAGUUUCUUGAUAUUUCUCACUCUUUUUUAUCUUCUUAAAGCUUUUUUGCACCUUCUCUUUUACGGCAGAAGAUUUCAUUUUUCUCAAUGCCUAUCUCAGGUGGUAUAACUUACUUUUUGUUCCUUUGAUAAGAUUUCCUUUUCGUCUUUGGUUUCUUCAUAUAUCUGACUUGAGGGAUCAACUUUUCUUCUUUUUAAUUUGCUAUCUUUUAACUUUUCUUUACUUGUUUCUGUAAAUGCUUUCAUUCCUCUCAGUGCAUGUUCUGUAUUUGGUGUGAUUCAGAGAUUUUUGAUUCAAAUUUCUUUCGUUUCAAUGUUUUUAACUUCUUGUUUUUACAUAUUUCUAUAUUGGCCACUCAUUUAUUGGCACUGCGUGAGAAGUUACAAUUUGUCUAAAAGAAGAAAGUAGAAGUAAGCAUCCAAAAUCCUCACAAGACAAUUAAUAAGCAGUAAACCAAAGAGGAUGAAAAAAAACUCUGCUCCUUAGACCUGCGAGACAACAUUCAGGCCUCAAUCUCCAAGCAGCAUGAUACUUUCUAUAAGCCACAAACAAAGAAUAUCCCAUUUCCAUGUACAAGCUUUGGUUUAAUAUGGAAAACACUCAACUGUCUACAGAAUAAGAUAACUUAGCAAUUUGAACCAAAUAAAAUCAAAACAUAGGAACAAAUGUUUUUCUAACCUCCAGAAAUCAACAACCUUAGUCAACUCUAUUUUUUUCUCUUAGCUAUUCAUCCCCAAAAUUUUUAACCUGAUAGUCACUUCUAAUAAAGGCUUGGCUUUUGUCUGGUAAUGAGAUUCUCCUUUCUCCUUUUACAUGAUAUCCUUCCAAAAUUGAGCGAUCUAACAUAAUGGUUAACAUGGUGGUAAGCAUGCUUAAAAUUAUGUUUUCCUAUUUAUUUCCUCAUUAUGGAAUUUCCUCCACUAUAAAGGAUGGCAAGCUCUCUUCCUUUCAUUAUGCACAUACCAGAAAUCAGGUGAGUGGGCCGGCCACCAUCCAAAAAAUUGCAUCUUACUUGUAGCUGCAGAACCAUAAACAAAUUGCUUGCUGGAUCCUACAGGAUAUUCUCAUGCAAUCACGUGGCAAAUUAGUACCCAUUACCAAGCAUGUUGCGUUUCUGACUAAGCUUGAACUCAUGAAAGAUUUGCCGCAUCAUCUUCUUCUUCAUGUUUAUUUUCCUAACAUUUAUUUCUUUGCUUUUUUCUGGUGAGAGCUUUGUUUGAGGUCUUGGUUGUAUAUUGUGGUUUUCUUGUUACAAUUGUCUUCUCGUUCCGUGGUUUGACUACUUGUUUCUACAUGACCUUUAAUUUGAGUUCUUCUGGCAACACUUCAUUCUAAAGCAAUCGCUCAAAGCUACUUAGUUCACCAGUUCUCAUGGUUCAGGCUUGAGUUAUGCUUAGUAUUUGGUGUAAUGAGUAGCACAUGGAAUUUGCUGAAGUUAGAUUGAGGAUUUUCUUUUCUAGUAGAUUAAAAUUAUAAGAUAGUUUCAUUCUGAGCUUAUGUCAGUUCCACCAUUCGCACAAUUUAUGUUCAUGAACAAAAGCAGAGAUAAAUGAAAGGGGAUGUGGAUUAGGACUUAAGGAGAAAUCAAUGACCAAAUUUUGAGCAUGUGUAAGAGCGAAGGUAUUUUGGAUGGCAAAUAAGCCACAUUAGACCAAUACUCGAUCUUAGCAUGUGUGUUGCAUGUGAUUUGCUCAAGAAGAAAAGCAUUUGAUGCGUGGCUAUGAUCCCUUCAUCAAGACUGCAUAUAGAAAAAUUGAUGAUAAUACUUCUAUUCUAGAAACAUUCUGUCUACAUGGUACUCUUGGAGAAGUUCGACCCACACAUGGGCCUCUAAUGGAAGAAGAUUAACUCUAACUGAAAGGAGUUUGGACUGGCCAAAAUUCUAAUUAAAGAAGGAAAGCCAAAAUUGUAUUCUGACAAAAGUCUUUGAUGGACAACUCAGGCAAGAGGCUGUGAUUAAGAUCUACUUUUUUUUGGUUAAAUGCACGGAAAGACAUUAAAGGAAAUAAAUACGAAGCUAGAUAUGCAUGGAGAUAAACUGAACGAAAUAAAUAUGUCCCUUCUUCCCUCAAUGCAGAUACUGUGUUUUUUUCUAAAAAACAAAUAAAAAAUGGAGGUUGCCCUCCCCAAAAAAAACAACACACACAUGCACACAAAAAAGGAUAUAGGUUAUGGGUCAUUUUAGGACUAUUUUAUAGAUUAACAAAUGGUUUAGCAAAGUGGGCAAAUAAUGACCUAUCAGAACUUGUUUCUGCUAUAAGUUCACAUCUUCUUAAAGUUGGGUGUAUUUUCCACACUAUUGUGCUGGCUUGCUAGAAUGUUUUUAACUUUGCACCUUACCUUACCUCUAACCAAAUCAUCCACGUAGUGCUUUUAAUUAUGUUUAAAAAUGACUUGGAUGGAUGCUUGGAACAAAUAUCUAAUCUGGUUGUAAGUUUUAAUUUUUGGUCUCUGAGGUCCAAUGUAUUUUUUAUGUUUUUUUUGUACCAAUAAAUGCUCUCUCCUUCUCCAGAUUCUCCAAUUGACUGACUGAUCAAGAGAGCACAAGCAGCAAUAUGUGCACCUGUUGACUGUUGACUGUUGAAUUAGAUAGUCCUAUAAAAACAUAUAUGAAAAGACAGGAAAUAUUUUAGGAGUAAAUUCUUGCUACCAAGAGGGCUAAAUUCUUUAUCUUUCGGUUCUUUUGCCUUUUGUCUUCACUUUUUUUCUUUUUCUUUUCGCUCUUGCUUCUGCUAAAGGUUUCAUUUUUCUUGAUUUCCCAUUUUGUUCUGCGGGGCUAUUUAGACAAACCGCUUUUUUUUGUUUCUUGAUAUAUCUAUGAACUGGUACACUGUUUUAUCUUCUAUACUGUUCACUGGCUUCUUCUUUAUAGUUUGUUUUGGUAAAAUCUUGAUGCCUGUUGCAUUACAAUGUUCAUAUUUUUCUGAUUUGGGGCUUGUCCUUUUCUAUAUUCUUGAUAUUUGUCCUCCCAAGGUGCUCGUUUUUUCUUUACUAUUAUAUUUCAACUUUUGUCGUGCUUUUUUCCCCCUUCUUGAUUCAUAUUUUCUAUCACAGGAUUCUUUUGCUAAACUAUAUUACCAUUUUCCGUAUAUGGUCCUUUUAGUUUCUUGAUAUUUCUAAAAUUUUUUUCUUUUCUUAAAGCUUUUUUUGCACCUUUUAUUUUAUGGUAGAAGAUUUCAUUUUUCUCAAUGCCUAUCCCAGGUGGUAUUUUGUAAGAUAACUUACUUUUUGUUCCUUUGAUAAGGUUUUCUUUUCGUCUUUGGUUUCUUCAUAUAUCUGACUCAAGGGAUCAACUUUUCUCUUUUUUGCUGCUUUUUAACAUUUCUUUACUUGUUUCUGUAAAUGUUUUCAUUCUUCUCAAUGCCUGUUCUAUAUUUUGGUGUUAUUCAGAGAUUUUGAUUCAAAUUUCUUUGGUUUCACUGCGUUUCACUUCUAGUUUUUACAUAUUUCUAUAUUGGCCACUCAUUUAUUGGCAUUGCUUGAGAAGUUACAAUUUGUCUAAAAGAAGAAAGUAGAAGUAAGCAUCCAAAUCCCUCACAAGACAAUUAAAUAAGCAGUAAACCAAGGAGGAUGAAAAAUUAAAAAUGAGCACCCUCUUGGAGAUAGCUUCCAAUUUUUGGUCUUCCAAGAUAGCCUUUAUUUUUUAGAACACAACUAGCAUGAUGAAUUGUUAAGGGUUUGUCAACAAAUUUAGCCCUCUUGGUAGCAAUCAUUGAUUUCUCCUUAAGUCCUAAUCCACAUCCCCUUUCAUUUAUCUCUGCUUUUGUUCAUGAACAUAAAUUGUGCGAAUGGUGGAACUGACAUAAGCUCAGAAUGAAACUAUCUUAUAAUUUUAAUCUACUAGAAAAGAAAAUCCUCAAUCUAACUUCAGCAAAUUCCAUGUGCUACUCAUUACACCAAAUACUAAGCAUAACUCAAGCCUGAACCAUGAGAACUGGUGAACUAAGUAGCUUUGAGCGAUUGCUUUAGAAUGAAGUGUUGCCAGAAGAACUCAAAUUAAAGGUCAUGUAGAAACAAGUAGUCAAACCACGGAACGAGAAGACAAUUGUAACAAGAAAACCACAAUAUACAACCAAGACCUCAAACAAAGCUCUCACCAGAAAAAAGCAAAGAAAUAAAUGUUAGGAAAAUAAACAUGAAGAAGAAGAUGAUGCGGCAAAUCUUUCAUGAGUUCAAGCUUAGUCAGAAACGCAACAUGCUUGGUAAUGGGUACUAAUUUGCCACGUGAUUGCAUGAGAAUAUCCUGUAGGAUCCAGCAAGCAAUUUGUUUAUGGUUCUGCAGCUACAAGUAAGAUGCAAUUUUUUGGAUGGUGGCCGGCCCACUCACCUGAUUUCUGGUAUGUGCAUAAUGAAAGGAAGAGAGCUUGCCAUCCUUUAUAGUGGAGGAAAUUCCAUAAUGAGGAAAUAAAUAGGAAAACAUAAUUUUAAGCAUGCUUACCACCAUGUUAACCAUUAUGUUAGAUCGCUCAAUUUUGGAAGGAUAUCA
rnacentral:lncRNA from 1 species